AUGGGAGGCAGCAGUGGGGAGUUUUCUGCAAUGGGCGAAAGCCUGACGGAGCAAUGCCGCGUGAAGGCAGAAGGCCCACGGGUCAUGAACUUCUUUUCUUGGAGAAGAAAAAAUGACGGUAUCUGAGGAAUAAGCAUCGGCUAACUUUGUGCCAGCAGCCGCGGUAAUACAGAGGAUGCAAGCGUUAUCCGGAAUGAUUGGGCGUAAAGCGUCUGUAGUAGGCUUUUCAAGUCCGCCGUCAAAUCCCAGGGCUCAACCCUGGACAGGCGGUGGAAACUACCAAGCUGGAGUGUGGUAGAGGCAGAGGGAAUUUCCGGUGGAGCGGUGAAAUGCGUUGAGAUCGGAAAGAACACCACCGGCGAAAGCACUGCUCUGGGCCCCCACUGACACUGAGAGACGAAAGAUAGGGGAGCACAUAGGAUUAGAUACCCCAGAGACCUCCCCUGGCGAGUGCUCCUCUUCUUCCAACCAUCAACUCCCUCCGCAAGCUUCCCGCUGGUCUACUAGCAGAGUCAAA
rnacentral:rRNA from 1 species